ACGUCCGAAAUAUAGGAAUCGUGAAAAACUUCACCGUUCUAAAAAUAUCGUCGAAAAAAAAGGGUAAAGAAUAAUUCUGGUUGAUUGGGUAUUCGAUGAUCCAGAAGUUCACAAUUGGGAGAGAAAAAUUUGCAACAUCGAUCGGUCGUUGUACACAUGUGUGUUAAAAAUCCUUACCGUCCAAUGAGAAUAGAAGAAGUUACGAGUUGGCGACUUUGAUUACGCGUGACCUCCAUUAACUUAAAUUGGAUGAAAUUGGAGAACCGUAUUUAAUGUCACGUGUGCAGUGGGACCCAGAAAAGCAAUGUAAUAGUGUAACAUAAACGAACUGGAACAGAUGUAUUUUAUUUUAUUUGUUACGUUACUGUACCAAAUUUUUUCCUCUAUUCCUUCUCAUUUCUAUUCAACAUACCUACCGAUUUGAUUGAACGUUUCGAUGAGCAAACUUUUAUCUGAAAUCUAAUCGGACUGCAGAAUUUUUCCGCCGCGUCGCUGUGGGGGUAAAAAAAACGCUCAUCAAUUCGUCGGAUCAUUAGUGCAAAUAAAGUUGCGGUGAAUCAAAAAGUUAUGACUACUCUAGUGUAAUAAAAUUCUAUAUUUAAUAGUUGGGGUAGCUGAUUAAACGAUUCGAGGAAUCGAUCUUGGUAUACCAUGAUUGACCACCGCGUUGACGUUGAACGACGACGCAAGGCAUAAUCGAUUCAACAUUUCGAUCAGAUAAUCGUCGAAGCAGACCCUUGACGACCCCUCAACCGAUGCAUCACGCCCAAGGACAAUACUCCGAAUCGCACCUGAUUGCGCCGAUGAUGCCGAACAAUUCAUUCGACGUGAAAUUAUUGGAUAGAUCCCGAUUGAUUGAUACGUACACAAAAAUCAGACGAAUCAAAAGGCUGCGGAGGAAAGAAACGGACAAAAUAUUGAUCAUCUAUUCUCGAAAAAUUUAACAUGCAGAUUCAUUUUCGUUUCAAAGUAGAAAAAGAAUAUCGAUCGGUGCCACAGAAGGAACUGGACACAAAAAUAACCGAAGAAUUUGAUGAUACCGAUCUGAAAAAUUCUGGUAAAAAUUUGCACCCACCGUUUUUAUCCCUCGGCUGCCUUGGUUUCUGAAAAUGAUGCCGUAGCAAUAAAGUAAGGUCGGAAUCUUUGAUGAGCUUUGACAAGGGACAGAAUUUCAAUUAGAGUCUUUUACCAUUGACGACCCUUCGCAAGAGGUGAUCCUUCACAAAACUCCCGCUGACAAGCUCACGAUGUUAUUUCAUUCAAUUUUUCUUUUCUUCUUCUUCUUCUUCAAAAAAAUUAUUGUCCUCCUAAUUUGUACCAAAAACUGAGAAACAAAAGGGCAUGGAGAA